rnacentral:rRNA from 1 species
UCCGACGUUUUCACGCGUUAAUCGGCAUUACUGGGCGUAAAGCGCGCGUAGGUGGUUCGUUAAGUUGGAUGUGAAAGCCCCGGGCUCAACCUGGGAACUGCAUCCAAAACUGGCGAGCUAGAGUAUGGCAGAGGGUGGUGGAAUUUCCUGUGUAGCGGUGAAAUGCGUAGAUAUAGGAAGGAACACCAGUGGCGAAGGCGACCACCUGGGCUAAUACUGACACUGAGGUGCGAAAGCGUGGGGAGCAAACAGGAGUAGAUACCCCCGUAGGC